AGAGCCUCCAUGGCGCCUGUUUAUCAAAAACAUGUUUUUUUGAGAAUUAUAAAAAAUUUAGUCUGCUCAAUGCUAAGUGUAAAUAGCCGCAGUAUUUUGACUGUGCUAAGGUAGCAUAAUCAUUUGCCUUUUAAUUGGAGGCUAGUAUGAAUGACUUGACGUAAUAAAGUCUGUCUUUAAAAGGUAAUUUGAAUUUAAUUAGCUGGUAAGAAGGCCAGCAUUCACCUAAGGGACGAUAAGACCCUAUUAAGCUUUAUUUUAGAAUUUUACUGGGGCGGUACCUCAAGACUUAAAUCUUGAGAUAAAAAGAUUGAUUUAUAUGACCCAAUAUUAUUGAGUGUUAGAUGAAGUUACUAUAGGGAUAACAGCUUAAUUUUUCUAAAAAGUUCUUAUUUUAAGAAAAGUUUGAGACCUCGAUGUUGAAUUAAUGAACCUUUUUAGUGAAGAAGCUAUAAAAGGAAGUCUGUUCGACUUUUAAACCUUUACGUGAUCUGAGUUCAGACCGGCCAUGGGAGCUCUA
rnacentral:rRNA from 1 species